rnacentral:rRNA from 1 species
GAUGAACGCUGGCGGCGUGCCUAAUACAUGCAAGUCGAGCGAAUGGAUUAAGAGCUUGCUCUUAUGAAGUUAGCGGCGGACGGGUGAGUAACACGUGGGUAACCUGCCCAUAAGACUGGGAUAACUCCGGGAAACCGGGGCUAAUACCGGAUAACAUUUUGAACCGCAUGGUUCGAAAUUGAAAGGCGGCUUCGGCUGUCACUUAUGGAUGGACCCGCGUCGCAUUAGCUAGUUGGUGAGGUAACGGCUCACCAAGGCAACGAUGCGUAGCCGACCUGAAGGGGUGAUCGGCCACACUGGGACUGAGACACGGCCCAGAGUCCUACGGGAGGCAGCAGGAGGGAAUCUUCCGCAAUGGACGAAAGUCUGACGGAGCAACGCCGCGGGAGUGAUGAAGGCUUUCGGGUCGUAAAACUCUGUUGUUAGGGAAGAACAAGUGCUAGUUGAAUAAGCUGGCACCUUGACGGUACCUAACCAGAAAGCCACGGCUAACUACGUGCCAGCCGCCGCCGUAA